AGGAAGUAAAAGUCGUAACAAGGUCUCCGUUGGUGAACCAGCGGAGGGAUCAUUACUGAGUUUACGCUCUACAACCCUUUGUGAACAUACCUAUAACUGUUGCUUCGGCGGGUAGGGUCUCCGCGACCCUCCCGGCCUCCCGCCUCCGGGCGGGUCGGCGCCCGCCGGAGGAUAACCAAACUCUGAUUUAACGACGUUUCUUCUGAGUGGUACAAGCAAAUAAUCAAAACUUUUAACAACGGAUCUCUUGGUUCUGGCAUCGAUGAAGAACGCAGCGAAAUGCGAUAAGUAAUGUGAAUUGCAGAAUUCAGUGAAUCAUCGAAUCUUUGAACGCACAUUGCGCCCGCCAGCAUUCUGGCGGGCAUGCCUGUUCGAGCGUCAUUUCAACCCUCAAGCUCUGCUUGGUGUUGGGGCCCUACAGCCGAUGUAGGCCCUCAAAGGUAGUGGCGGACCCUCCCGGAGCCUCCUUUGCGUAGUAACUUUACGUCUCGCACUGGGAUCCGGAGGGACUCUUGCCGUAAAACCCCCCAAUUUUCCAAAGGUUGACCUCGGAUCAGGUAGGAAUACCCGCUGAACUUAAGCAUAU
rnacentral:rRNA from 1 species